UACGUAGGGGGCUAGCGUUGUCCGGAAUCAUUGGGCGUAAAGCGCGUGUAGGCGGUCCGGUAAGUCCGCUGUGAAAGUCGGGGGGUCAACCCUCGGAUGCCGGUGGAUACUGUCGGGCUUGAGUACGGAAGAGGCGAGUGGAAUUCCUGGUGUAGCGGUGAAAUGCGCAGAUAUCAGGAAGAACACCCGUGGCGAAGGCGGCUCUCUGGGACGGUACUGACGCUGAGACGCGAAAAGCGUGGGGAGCGAACAGG
rnacentral:rRNA from 1 species